GGAAUUGGCUGGAUUUGAACAGGACGUUCUAUACGAGAAGGGAUUACGUUGGUUUUAUUCAGUUAUUUUGGGGAUGAUUGACGUAUUAUCAGUGUACCGUAUGUCAAGAAGCAUCCUAUGGUGAUACAGCAUUCGUUCUCCGCAAGAAUAUUUCUCUCCACAUAUCUGUUGUAAAAGAGUGAAAGACAAAUAAUAUUUUAAAGAACAUAUAAAGUUUUUUUUGAAAGCUGAAACAAGCAAUAUCGUUAAAAUGGAUAAAGUUCAAGAACUUUCUGAAGCACUGCCUUUACCAAGUCAGCCAUUCUUAAACGUCGAAGUAAAUGAAUGCAAAGAAAGAGGCGUGGAUUUCAACAUCAUCUCGUGAAAUAAAGUUACCUUAUUACAUGAGCCAACCGGUACUGGUGAAACAUCCUUAUGCAAGGCGCUUGCUCAAAAAUUAUCCAUACGACUUUCUAAAAGAUUUAACUAUGGCCAGCUUAUUGAAAUAAACAUUCACAGUUUAUUUUCCGAGAGUGGAAAGUUAAUGAUGAAAAUGUUUCAGAAAAUUCAAGAGUUUAUUGACGACAAAUAAGCUUUAGUUUGCGUUCUUAUCGACGAGGUUGAAAGUUUAACAUCGGCAAGAAAAUCUGCGUUGAACGGACAAGAACCUUCAGAUGCCAUUCGUGUUGUGAAUGCAUUU